rnacentral:lncRNA from 1 species
AUCAGACAGCCCUGGAGUUCACAUAUGCUAACUGACAGAGAGCAAUCAAUUCAUUUUUUAAAAAGUAUUGCGUUCCUAAGAAUAUAUCAGGAACAGUCCUGUUCAAUGUUCAGUGAUGAACAAGAUGGAUAAAUUCAGUGUUUUAAAAAAUGUUCCUCAAAUGCCCUCUCUCUCAUUUCUUUCCCACAGGGGCUGUGUUUCCAUUUUGGUCAGUGGCAUCUCUGUUUCCCACUCUCACUGGAGCACAUACUCAUUCUCCUCCCUGUCUUUGCCCAAUCAUUUGCAGAAAUUCAAUUCAGCAGACGUUGACUUCUAUACUCUGUUUAAAGCACUAAGUGAAUUACUACAAGUGAUAAAAAGAUGAAAAGGCAUGAUCACUCACUCUGGGGGAAGCCAGCUGCCAUGUCGUAAGGACAACUCAAGCACCCCUGUGAAGAGGUACAUGUGGCAAAGAACUGAGACCUCCUGCUAACAGCCAGUACCAACUUGCCAGCCGUGAUCAAAUAGUUGGCCUCUAUGAUUGUUUCCACAUUAAUCAUGCUCUGACUUCUCCCUGAACCGAUCUGUACCAGUAUAACUUCCUGGGCAACUGAGAAAAGGACCCUGUAUCUCAAAAUUGAAGACUGG